rnacentral:rRNA from 1 species
CCUGGUUGAUCCUGCCAGUAGUCAUAUGCUUGUCUCAAAGAUUAAGCCAUGCAUGUCUAAGUACACACUUUGGUAAAGUGAAACCGCGAAUGCUCAUUAAAUCAGCUACAAUUUAUUAGAUCGUACACUGUUACUUGGAUAACUGUGGGAAUUCUAGAGCUAAUACAUGCCGAGAGUCUCUGCUCUUCGGGGCAGAGCGCAGUUAUUAGACCAAAACCAGCCGUAUUCUUCGGGGUACGCUCUUUUGGUGACUCUGGAUAACCUUCAGCCGAUCGCAUGGCCUCGUGCCGGCGACGUAUCUUUCAAGUGUCUGCCCUAUCAACUUUCGAUGGUACGUGAUAUGCCUACCAUGGUGAUAACGGGUAACGGGGAAUCAGGGUUCGAUUCCGGAGAGGGAGCCUGAGAAAUGGCUACCACAUCCAAGGAUGGCAGCAGGCGCGCAAAUUACCCACUCCCAGCUUGGGGAGGUAGUGACGAAAAAUAACAAUGCGGGACUCUAAGAGGCCCCGUAAUUGGAAUGAGUACACCUUAAAUCGUUUAACGAGUAUCAAUUGGAGGGCAAGUCUGGUGCCAGCAGCCGCGGUAAUUCCAGCUCCAAUAGCGUAUAUUAAAGUUGCUGCAGUUAAAAAGCUCGUAGUUGGAUCUGGGGCUUGAGGUCGCUGUCUAUCGUUUCGGCGAUGACGGUGAUGCUCAGCUCUGCUUGCCGGUGACUGUUGCGGUGUUCUUCACUGAGCGCUGUAGCAGCACGGCACGUUUACUUUGAAAAAAUUAGAGUGCUCAAAGCGUGCUUGUCGCUUGAAUAAUGUUGCAUGGAAUAAUGGAAUAGGACCUCGGUUCUAUUUUGUUGGUUUUCGGAGCUUGAGGUAAUGAUUAAGAGGGACGAACGGGGGCAUUCGUAUUGCGGUGUUAGAGGUGAAAUUCUUGGAUCGCCGCAAGACGGACUACUGCGAAAGCAUUUGCCAAGAACGCUUUCAUUAAUUAAGAACGUAAGUCAGAGGUUCGAAGACGAUCAGACACCGUCCUAGUUCUGACCAUGAACGAUGCCGACCAGCGAUCCGUAGUGGUUGCUUUAUGGACCCUACGGGCAGCCUCCGGGAAACCAAAGUAUUUGGGUUCCGGGGGAAGUAUGGUUGCAAAGCUGAAACUUAAAGGAAUUGACGGAAGGGCACGCCAGGAGUGGAGCCUGCGGCUUAAUUUGACCCAACACGGGAAAACUCACCCGGUCCGGACACCGUAAGGAUUGACAGACUGAUAGCUCUUUCUUGAUUCGGUGGAUGGUGGUGCAUGGCCGUUCUUAGUUGGUGGAGUGAUUUGUCUGGUUAAUUCCGAUAACGAACGAGACUCUAGCCUGCUAAGUAGUGUUGCUAUUGUUAUAUGGUUGACACUUCUUAGAGGGACAAGUG